UACGAAGGGGGCGAGCGUUGUUCGGAUUUACUGGGCGUAAAGGGCGCGUAGGCGGCCGAUCAAGUCGGGGGUGAAAGCCUGUGGCUCAACCACAGAAUUGCCUUCGAUACUGUUUGGCUUGAGACCGGAAGAGGUAAGUGGAACUGCGAGUGUAGAGGUGAAAUUCGUAGAUAUUCGCAAGAACACCAGUGGCGAAGGCGGCUUACUGGUCCGGUUCUGACGCUGAGACGCGAAAGCGUGGGGAGCGAACAGG
rnacentral:rRNA from 1 species